UGCGUAGGUGGCAAGCGUUGUCCGGAUUUACUGGGCGUAAAGAGCGCGCAGGCGGUCGUUCAAGUCGCGUGUGAAAGCCCCCGGCUCAACUGGGGAGGGUCACGCGAUACUGAUCGACUCGAAGGCAGGAGAGGGUAGUGGAAUUCCCGGUGUAGUGGUGAAAUGCGUAGAUAUCGGGAGGAACACCAGUGGCGAAGGCGACUUCCUGGCCUGUUCUUGACGCUGAGGCGCGAAAGCUAGGGGAGCAAACGGG
rnacentral:rRNA from 1 species